AAAAAAAAAAAUUAAUACAAGAGACCAGGACAACAACAACUUCUCGACAACGCCAAUUCUCACCUCUACCCCUUCCACGGCAGGCUGGACCAAAAAAAGAGGACAGCGAGGGCGCUCUGUCUGUCUGGGUUGCAAGAGGAAAUAUUUGCCUCCUAGUGGCGGAUGAGGAGUUCGAGAACGAGGUUUUACAAUGCACACCAAAGUGUCGGCAUCAUAAUGGCAAGACCUAUACCCGAAGAUAUCAGAAAGGAAAUCGAGAGCUGCUGUAUGACACCCUUACAAUAUAAGGCAAAAACCUGCCAUCCUUCAAGUUGUUGUGAAACUUAAAGGGGUUAUCCAGGAAAAAAACUUUUUUAUAUAUAUCAACAGGCUCCAGAAAGUUAAACAGAUUUGUAAAUUACUUUUAUUAAAAAAUCUUAAUCUUUUCAGUACUUAUCAGCUGCUGAAGUUGAGUUGUUCUUUUCUGUCUAAGU